AUAAGCAUUAAGAAUGCUACGAAAGUGAAUGAUGUGGCCACUCAGGAACUUGGGUAAACCGGGAGAUCUAAAGGGGGCUUCCUACUCAUUUUUCAUGCAUGCACCUGGUGAAGCCUGUGGACCCUCCUCAAAAUAAUGCUUUAAAAUGCAUAACACAAAAUACAUGUAAUUACAAAGGAAACCAAUUACACUGAAAUAUAGUUAUCAAAGCAUUAAAAAACACGAAAAUUGGUGAUGUAGUAGUAUAUGUGCUUCCUUAUUAAUGCAUUAAAUAACAAGAUAUAGCAGACUAAUAACUACCAUAUUUUCAAGUAGCCAUGAAUAUAAGCAAUUUUUCAAGACAGCUGAAAGCACUGUAAUAUGAUACAAAAAUAUUUGUGAUUUCUGUUGGUGAUACAGUUAAGGCACUGCUAAUACCAUAGUAGUUUCUUGCCUAUAUUCAUAAUUGAAUAAAAUGCUAAAUUCCAAUUAGACAUUGGUAAAAAUAAAGAUGCGAUAUAUUUUUUCCCAUUCAAGUUCAUAGCCAUCUAAAUUCUAUCCAUUCAUUUCCAUUCAUCCUUAAACUCCAGGUUAACAAUCGCUGGUUAGAAGGUGCAGCUGCUGCUCAAUGCUCUGAUUACAGCCAUCUAGAGCUGGGAGCUCAGAGGCCUGUGAGUCCUCAGAUUUUUGUGACCUCAGACCUAAGCCCUGAGGUCCAUCAUGUUACAUUCUCUCUUUAAGGGUUACCCUGUAAGCCAUUCUCCUCAAACACUAGUCUGAAGAAGCUCUCAGAGGCCUGGGCCAUGACGGAGCAGAGUAUGGAAGGUGAUGGAAGAGGGCUGGAACCUGGAAAACAAAUUCUACAACCUGUAGAUAAUUAAAAAAAAAAAAAAGGGUAAGUACAUCCCCCUGGUUGAUAGAAAAUGUCACAAACACAAAAAACAUAAUAAAGCUGGGUUUGAGUCCUUGGUGCCUUCCCUUCAUGAUUAAUGAUUGGUCUCAAAUAGGAUGGGUAAGGGAAAGUGAAGUUCCUCUUCAAGUAGCUUUAAAAAUGCCACAGCUUAAAAAAAUUAUUGUAACAUCAAUUUAAGAAAAAAAAA
rnacentral:lncRNA from 1 species